UUAAAAGAUGUGUGAGGGGCUGGCAUCCUCGAUGGGGCUGUGCAUGUUCCCAGUCUUGUUGGUUGGAAGGCUGAGUUAUCAGGACAUCCUUCCGGCCUUCUACCAGAAGGUAGCAACAGGUUUUAACUACCCCAAGUCUACUUCUUCUAUAUUACCAUACUUCUCAGAAAGAGACAGAUCCUUUUCUACUAAUGUUUGCUAUUUUACUAGCCAGCAGAGAAGCAGCAGAGGAGAAGAGAAGACCUGAAUGCCAGGUCUCCGAAUCAGAAAGAAUGAUGAAGCCAUUACAGAACCUCCUGCAAGGACCAAACGGUUAUUCCUGGGCUGUGGGGAGCAGAUGGGGACUCUUGGUCAUCAUGAGCUGGGAUCAACGUAGCUCUUGCCUCUCAUCAAAGACAUUCUUUGCAACAGAUGGGGACCAUUACAGAAACCAUGACUGGUCAAAAAGCUGACUACAAGCAAUCAUAGGGCCAUCAGACCCUGUACCCUGUACCCUGUACCCUGUACCCUGUACCCUGAGAUCAGGGAACAUUUCAGAAGAGGGGACAGGAAGAUGUUAAGGGUCAGAGGACCAGAAAACCAUCAGUGAGACUAUGACUCCUAGAAGCAUCAGGGAAGCUACAUCCAUGGUACCUCAAUAAUGUGGCUGCUUAGCUAAGACCUGAACAAGGUUGAUAACAGUUAACAUGCUGACAAGAAAUGGGGAAUCUCAAGGGGAUCCAUCUCUAGACCAAGAACUAUGGGCAACUAAGGGAUGCUGAGCAUGACAAUAGUCUUCUCCAGGCAAGAUUAUACAUACCAAACACAAAACCCCAGACCAGAAAACCCAACAACUACAACCAAACUCCAAACUCACAUAUUCACUGAGCAGAAAUGACAUCACUGUAAAGAGCUACUCAACAGCUCCUGGAAAAUAAGAUGCUGGGAGCUUCCAACUGACAUUUUAUUUGCAGACUGAGAUGGAAGCCACAGCACAGCAGAUCUGCUUCCCGCAGGAUAGCCUGAUCACUCCAGAUCAGAGGGAGGCAUGGACGGAGCCCAUUCUGUCACCUGAUGCUAUAUUGGCUGGACACCAAGAACACUGGCUCAGAGGAUGGACCAGACCUUAGUGAAGACCAUGGGAACCGCAUCUUUAUAUUCUUGCAAGAACAGCAGUGACUUCACCAGAACCAAUGCUGACCCAGUCAAUGGGCCUGCUAGAUGGGCUACUGAAGGCUAAGGAAGAUGCAGGCUACGGUGAAGACUCUAGCAUGUCCUCGCCUCGGUAGUACAUGGUCGUGGUUAAUAGAAAGCACCUAGGGCACAGAAGAAUCCAUCUGCUGAACAUAAUUGUUCAUGGAGCUAAACAUGUGAGCUCUGACCAAUGUUCCUCACUGGAACCUAAUUAAAGUGGGGAUCUAAUUCCCCAGGAAUUUGAAUAGAGGGACACUAAGUGAGUUGUGGUGAGUUAAAUCAUACACAGGAAGCUUCUGGAUGCUGCCACCGUCUCACUUCUACACAGAAUAGCUGUUCCUUCCAGAAGUGAGGUCCUGGAAGCCAAGGACCCAGUGGCAAGGAACACAGUGUUCAGAGGCUCCCAUUGGUUCGGCAGAGGCUCUGUCUGUGUCAGAUGAGCAGCUUAACAUUCGGUUAAAUGGAAAAGCUUCUGCGUGUGGGGCUCUCCAGGGCUGGGUGCUGACAGACAUGAACCGGUGCUGUGCUUAAUGAGGGACAAUUUAUACGCCUCAUGUAAUAGACUCCUUUCUGCUGUGGUAGCAGACACACCUGCACAUACCAUGCUUCUCAGGAGAAAGGAGCUUCGCGUCAGACCUGCUAGGUAAGGCAGCCAUAACAGAACUCUGAACCCCCAGCUAUGGCAAAAAUCAGUGCACAUCUCGUCCUGGUCCCGCUAGUUGUCUCUUGCAUGGGUUCCCACCAGGGAGUACAGGAAUGGUGAGAGACUCUCUAUUUCAUCCCCAAGUCCCGAGAGCUUGAGGCCCUAAAGCUCGCUGGCACCUGGUGAAGGGCAAAGGACUGGGCUUGGAGCCAGGAGCUUGGGCCUCUGUCCUCCCUGACCUGCAGUCUUCUCACUUAUCAGAGGGAGCUGAGUGUGUCUGCAUUCUCAGGGCUGUGACAAGCAGCAUGAGAAAGACGCCAGAGUUCUUUGUUCAGUGGAGUGAGGUCUAGUUGGGGUGAUGGGGUUUUGGUUAUACGUUCUAGAACUGUUAGAUUGUACAUGGUUUUUUUGGCAUACCUCCAGGAAAAGCUCCACUGGGAAGACCCUCUGCAUUUGCAAAGCAAGUUUCUCUCAUCUCCUCGCUCUCCAUGGAGUGCAUACAGAAUAGCAACAGGCUUGGCCUUUUCAUCCUGGGUGUUUACUCAACUCCUACUUUCAGUUUUUGUAAGUUUUUCUACUGAUUGUAUCGAGUCCAUUCUUGUAAGUGGUUGUAAUCCUGCUUAUAAAGUUGUGGUGAAAAAAAAAAAAAACAGGCGUGAUGGUGCAUACCUUUAAUCCCAGCACUUGGGAGGCAGAGGCAGGUGGAUUUCUGAGUUCGAGGCCAGCCUGGUCUACAAAGUGAGUUCCAGGAAAGCCAGGGCUAUACAGAGAAACCCUGUCUCAACAAACAAACAAACAAACAAAAAACAACAAAAAACAAAACAAAACAAAACAAACAAACAAACAAAAAAGAUGUGGUGCACACAGAAAAGGAAAAUGGAGGAUGGACAAAUGCUAAAUUUGAUAAAAUGAUGAUGGUCAUACAGGUUUUCCUCUAGAGCUUUAGUCAUUAAAAUAGGAAACAAAUGAUUGUGUAGUAAUUGCCACUUAUCCAUUCAUCUACAUAUGCAAUUAUUAUCUGCCGCCCACCCAUCCAUCAUCCAUCUACCUAUCUACCAACCUGUCAGUCUAACUAUCCAUUCAUUCCCCUAUCCACCACCCAACCAUCCACAAAUCUCCAACCCACCCAUCUUUUCACCAUCACUCCAACCCCCUAUCCAUCUAUUCAUCUACCCACCUAUCUACUCACCCACUCACCAUCUACCCCAUCCCUACCUGCUCACUUUCUCCCUACUCACCCAACUACCCAUCUAUGCAUCAGUUUAUAUCUAUGCACUUACCCCCAACCCAUCAAUCUGCUCACCAACAC